GGCGCCGCUGAGGCAGGUGCCUCUGGUGCUUCUGCCGCCACUGAAGCCGCUGGUUCGGGUGCUGCUGCUGCCUC
rnacentral:tRNA from 1 species